rnacentral:rRNA from 1 species
CGCGUAGGCGGCCUGUCAAGUCGGACGUGAAAUCCCUCGGCUCAACCGAGGAACCGCGCUCGAUACUGGUGGGCUAGAGUCCGGGAGGGGAUGGUGGAAUUCCCAGUGUAGCGGUGAAAUGCGUAGAUAUUGGGAAGAACACCGGUGGCGAAGGCGGCCAUCUGGACCGGAACUGACGCUGAGGCGCGAAAGCUAGGGGAGCGAAUG